UACGUAGGCAGCAAGCGUUGUUCGGAAUUACUGGGCGUAAAGAGUGUGUAGGCGGUGCUCUAAGUUUGGUGUGAAAUCUCCCGGCUCAACCGGGAGGGUGCGCCGAAAACUGGAAUGCUUGAACGUGGGAGAGGAAAGCGGAAUUCCUGGUGUAGCGGUGAAAUGCGUAGAUAUCAGGAGGAACACCUGCGGUGUAGACGGCUUUCUGGACCAUUGUUGACGCUGAGACACGAAAGCGUGGGUAGCAAACAGG
rnacentral:rRNA from 1 species